GAGUAAUGCUUGGGAAUAUGCCUUAUGGUGGGGGACAACAGUUGGAAACGACUGCUAAUACCGCAUGAUGUCUACGGACCAAAGUGGGGGACCUUCGGGCCUCACGCCAUAAGAUUAGCCCAAGUGGGAUUAGCUAGUUGGUGAGGUAAUGGCUCACCAAGGCGACGAUCCCUAGCUGGUUUGAGAGGAUGAUCAGCCACACUGGGACUGAGACACGGCCCAGACUCCUACGGGAGGCAGCAGUGGGGAAUAUUGCACAAUGGGCGCAAGCCUGAUGCAGCCAUGCCGCGUGUGUGAAGAAGGCCUUCGGGUUGUAAAGCACUUUCAGUAAGGAGGAAAGGUUAAGUGUUAAUAGCACUUAGCUGUGACGUUACUUACAGAAGAAGCACCGGCUAACUCCGUGCCAGCAGCCGCGGUAAUACGGAGGGUGCGAGCGUUAAUCGGAAUUACUGGGCGUAAAGCGUACGCAGGCGGUUUGUUAAGCGAGAUGUGAAAGCCCCGGGCUCAACCUGGGAACUGCAUUUCGAACUGGCAAACUAUAGUGUGAUAGAGGGUGGUAGAAUUUCAGGUGUAGCGGUGAAAUGCGUAUAGAUCUGAAGGAGUACCGAUGGCGAAUGCAGCCACCUGUGUCCACCACUGACGCUCAUGUACGAAAGCGUGGGGAGCAAACGGGAUUAGAUACCCUGGGUAGUCCACGCC
rnacentral:rRNA from 1 species